ensembl:lncRNA
CAAAGGGCCAUGUCCUGAUUAUAGCAAAGCACCUAUUUGCAGCCAGUGAUCAGGUGUAUAGGCCCUUGAGGAAGGAUCCCAAGGACAAGCAGAACUUCCUAGUUGCUGGCCCUGCCUUCUUUCAACACCAUGGGAAGAUGGAUGCCAAGAGAAAAAAAAAAUGUUUGCUGUGGAUUCCUGCAUCACCACUAUUACACAGGGUUGAAGAUGGGAAAGGAUCACUGCCAUGAGGAGUAAUUGCAGCUCUUUUCUUCAAGGUCAUCGUUUCUGAAGUUGGUGAAUAGCUGAACAGUGUCAACAGACAGUCUCAACAGGCUCAACAACAUCAGUAAUUUCAUACUUGUCAUCUGUAUGGAUUAGUGUGACAGUAUGUUUUGCUCCAGUGUGUGGUAAAUAACAUCUUCCACUGAUGGCCUUUUCUGUCUGGACUUCAACUUUUCAUCUGCAUUAUCAGCAUCUAUAUUUUUCUCAUUCGUCUGCUGUGGAGAAUUCCACCCAUGUCCUGUCUUUGGAUUGUUUAAAAACUGGCAGGUGUAUCCAAAAUGCACUGUAAUGGGGCAGGUUUUCAAAUGUUCAGCCAAUAUUACUGUGUUCUAAGCAUGUAAUUGCUUCCAGUAUGUGAGAACUCUCUCUUGUGUUUUUGAAAUACCAAUUCUUGAAUAUUAAAAACCAGACUGUAGCUAGUAAGCUUUCCAUAUGAUCAGCUGUAGCAAAGCAAAUCACCAUUAAGCCUCAAAAAUAGGUUAACUGCAACUUCCAGUGAAGUAAAGAGGCAGUAUCAAGCAAGUCUCGAACACAAUAAAUAUUAUUUCUCAAGGUGACUACCUGAAGAAGUGUUGUGUUUCCUGGAAGAUGGAAAUCUCAAAAAA